UAGGGAAUCUUCCGCAAUGGACGCAAGUCUGACGGAGCAACGCCGCGUGAGUGAAGAAGGAUUUCGGUUCGUAAAACUCUGUUGUCAGAGAAGAACAGCGCAUAGAGUAACUGUUAUGCGUGUGACGGUAUCUAACCAGAAAGCCACGGCUAACUACGUGCCAGCAGCCGCGGUAAUACGUAGGUGGCAAGCGUUGUCCGGAUUUAUUGGGCGUAAAGUGAGCGCAGGCGGUCAAUUAAGUCUGAUGUGAAAGCCCCCGGCUCAACCGGGGAGGGUCAUUGGAAACUGGUUGACUUGAGUGCAGAAGAGGGGAGUGGAAUUCCAUGUGUAGCGGUGAAAUGCGUAGAUAUAUGGAGGAACACCAGUGGCGAAGGCGACUCUCUGGUCUGUAACUGACGCUGAGGCUCGAAAGCGUGGGUAGCAAACAGG
rnacentral:rRNA from 1 species